rnacentral:lncRNA from 1 species
UUCUUUAUGAUUCAAACCACAAGAAAACAAUUCCCCUGUUAUGAACUAUUUCCCUAUUGUUAUUUAUGCUACUUAAGUCUUUAGUUGUUCAUAUUAUGCUCUAUGUUCCCUUGUAAAGUUCUGUCAUUAAAGUCCCGGCCUUUUCGCACAUGCAGGGUUGUUCGCCUAAAGAUUUCUUAAAAGUAAAUUCAUAAAAAAAUGGAUGGUAAUUAUUCAAUUCAUCUACUGAUACCAAAAUAGUAGUUCACAUUAUGCUCUUUCUAUGUUUCUUUAUCAAAUUCUGUCACUAAAGAUCCCCACCUUUUCACACAUGCAGGGUUGUUGUUACUUGUUAGCCUAAA